AAUAGAUACCCGGGUAGUCCACGCCGUAAACGAUGGAUGCUAGCUGUUAUGCGUAUCGACCCGUGUAGUAGCGAAGCUAACGCGUUAAGCAUCCCGCCUGGGGAGUACGAACGCAAGUUUAAAACUCAAAGGAAUUGACGGGGACCCGCACAAGCGGUGGAGCGUGUUCUUUAAUUCGAGGCUAAGCGAAGAACCUUACCAGGGCUUGACAUCCUUGGAAUUUCUCCGAAAGGAGAGAGUACUUUAUUGGACCAAGUGACAGGUGCUGCAUGGCCGUCGUCAGCUCGUGUCGUGAGAUGUUUGGUUAAGUCCAUUAACGAGCGCAACCCUUAUGAAUAGUUGUAUUUUUCUAUUCAGACUGCCCCGGUAACGGGGAGGAAGGGGGGAUGAUGUCAGGUCAGUAUUGCCCUUACGCCCUGGACUAGAAACGCGCUACAAUGGCCGGUACAAUGCGCUGCCAACCCGCGAGGGGGAGCAGAUCGCAUCAAAGCCGGUCCCAGUUCGGAUAAGAGGCUGAAACUCGCCUCUUGAAGCCGGAAUCGCUAGU
rnacentral:rRNA from 1 species